AAGAGGAAGCAGCAAGGCUGGGCCUUGAAGAACGUGAAGGAGUCACCCAGCUAGAGAGGGCAGGAGGGUGUUCCACGAAGUACAAACAUCAUGAACAGAAAGUCAAAGAGUGAAAGUGAAGGGAGGAUUGGGGAGCAGUGAACAGACAAUGUGAGAGAGCUGCGGCACCAUGGAGAAGAGUAAUGAGAGGGACAUCCUGAAGGAAAGACAAUAUGAAGGACUGUCGAUGCCAAAGAAAGGACUUUCAGCCAUAUGCACGCAAUGGGGAGCAAUGCAAGAUUGUCAACCAAGAGACUGAGGUGCUGCUACCACAAACAUGAGGAAACUUCUGUUAGGAGUUCAACCUUCAGAGAGGACAGCUGGCAGUGCAAGAUGGUGACAGCCCUGCAAUCAGGAGAAGAAAGUCAUGAGACCUGUUUCUCCAGGUUUCCCGCCUCCUUCCACCUUCUGUACAGGACACACCAGUUCCCUCAAGCCCAAAAUGUGAGCAGCUGUCAUUCUCUGCAUAGCCAAGCUCGGCAGUCUGCCGAAAGGGACAAGCCAGUCCCGCAAAGGAAUGAUGUAUGCCAAAAGAUACUGCAUUAGGA
rnacentral:lncRNA from 1 species